GAACAAGUUUUGCAGGAAUGAUUCCUUCCGCAGUGUACACUUGUAGAAGCCUUUGCAGCCACGCAAGUGUAAGAUCCAGACGACUCUAAAUAAUUCCAGGAUCGCUAUGCAAGUCGGCCCACGCAACGUGGUGCUGGCGACACUUUCGAAUUGACGGGGACACCCUAAAGCCUGUCGCACCAACUCUGCGUGGGAAACCGCUCGAGGGCCCGUGCUAACUAC
rnacentral:rRNA from 1 species